AUGUGUGGCAGCAAUACAGGUGCUAUGCAUGAAAUAGUACAGAGGUUUUUCAUUAGUCAAUACAGUGAAGGCUGGCAUGAUCAUCAGCUUCCCAUCAAAUAAUAUCUACUCAUCAGUGUGCUGUUGUCAAUCAGAGAUUUUCAAGUAUGAGUUCUCCAACUCAAAGAAAAGUAGCUGGAUCCAGGAAGAAAGGCAUUUGGGGAGGAACAACGUUCUUUACAGUGCUCAUGAUGUGUCUCCAGAGAAAGUUACUUCAGCACUAAACAAACAAACAAACAAACAACAACAAUAAACAACUUUCCUCUUCAGUAUCUUCCAGGGUCUAAACUAUUAGACAGAUUCCUAAGUUUAUCCAGAUCUCUCCUAUGUCUGAAUUCUUGGUCAUCUUCCUUGCCUCUGGCUCCACAGGUAAAGAAGAAAUAAUAAUAAAGGAACAAAAAUUAUAUGUUUCUGUCAGGCUGACUCAUUCCACUUUUGAAGCACCCAGUGGAUUAAUUAGUCUUAUUAUUGCAUUUACUGUCACCUACACACUUGUUUGUGGGAAGGCCCUCCUCUUGGCAUUUGCCUAGUGGAAAAAGGAACCCUAAGACUUUAGCCACUGGAUAAUGCUCUUGAAGUUCACGGCACUGUGGCAGCAUAAACUUGAACAGACCUAGCUUUUUUAUUGAUGGAGUGCAACUGAUAUAGCACCACCUUUCUCUGACACUGUAUAUUAGCUUUUAGUUAUUAUGAACUACUUCCUUCCAGUGCAGCAGUUGUUGCCUACCAUUGGUACCAGUUUGGCACCAUUAUAAAGAAACAUUGUACCUCUUGUAGGAAGAAUUUGGACAGUUUUGGUAUGGUAAUCAAGAUGUGUAUUGUAAUACUUAACUGAAUUCUGUGAACACACUGUUACUACCUUAAGUGAAAGAAAAAGAGAACAGCUGCAAUUAUUUAUCUUCACUCAUUUCUCAUAGAUAGCCAGGAUUUUUCAGUGUACAUUCUCUUGUCCUGAAAUUAUUUUCAGUUCUUGUUGAUUCUUAUAGAUUAUGAUGAGAAAGGCACCAGCAAGAAAUUUGAAAUAAUGAACACAAAAUGAGAUUGCCCUUUGAUUGUUAAAAUUGCAGAUCAACACAAAAUAAAUCAGCAAAAUAUGUGCAAAGUUAUCUUAACAGAUUAAUUCCUAUCCAGCAGGCUUUGACAAAAACUAAUAGAAGGUAUUACAUAUUUACAGAAAAAAAAUUUAGGCAUGAAAGCUGUUAGGUAACAGGAGCACCCUAAUGGCGCUGGUUCCGGGUUCUUCGUCCUCCCCAACACAGGCCCGCCAAAAAGGAGCCAACCAGAGGUCACGCCUUCCCGCCUCGGCCUAGGCCCAGCCCCUCAGCCAACCAGCAACCCCCACGUAACGUCCCCGGGCAUGAAAGACGGAGGCCGCAGAGCUCUCUCUCUGUCUUCCCUUCCGCUUCGGCUCUUCCUCAGACUCCUCCAAUAAAGAUCUCUUGACUGCAACCGGUGUGGCGUGGUCUUAGUCUGAGCCUACAGAGCCACUCUUUCAAAAGCUACUAAAGAAAAGCCAGAAACAGCGUAAGAAUACCCUACUCAAAUAUGGUUCAGAGACGAGGGUGGGGACUUUAUUCCAUUGGACUUCAGUCCCAGUGACAAGGCCACUACUAUUGUGAAUUAAUAUCAGGCUAAUUAAACUUGAUGUUAUUAAAUGUUCUAUCCAUAAAAA